UCUCGACACACGGUCCCUUCUGUGUGGUUUAAUUGUAUGAACAGUCACCCUCAAGUGAACGCAGAUAAGGAGGAACGGAUAACUUCUCUGCACGAGUGCUUCGCGUCUCACGGGCGCACCGACAAGGACCGCUGAGCAAAGUAGCUUCUGAGUGCGUGGAGCGGAGAGGGAACGCGCAAGAGGCAGCGGGAGGGAGGGAUACCAAACAGACCCUAACUGGACCUCGAAGUCAGUUGUUCGUUAACUACAACUCAGCCACUGGUCGAAUCUGAUGUACAUCAUCCCAACGAUCUGGUGCUCUUUCAAAGACGAUCUGGUGCUCUUUUGUGUCCUCCUGACACAAAUUUUGCGCUUGAAAAUCAUUGAGCAGCGUGGAUGUAGGGAAAAGGGGCAUUGGAUUGGGAAUAUUGGAGGAGACAGAACAAACAGGGCCCAUACACUCAGAUGUACAGACAGUUGUAGGGAAAGGUGUGUACGAGUGCGGCCUACCUGCUGAGCGUUGGUAGCAAGCGUCUGUAUUUGCCCUUGAACGACCUGCGUGCCCGACACUGGCUGAGCCAGGCGGAUGUACUGGAGCUGGCCUGAGCUCAGCUGCACCUGCGCACAGUCACCAGAAGGGGGAGACAAAGGAACACUGGGGUCAAACACAAGCUCCACGCUGAGGUCUGGAGCGGAAGAUUUAACAGCUGCCACGCCAAUUAACAUGGGAGACAACUCAGAACUGGACAGCUGGAGACAUUUGGAGUUUUCCAGACUGAAACCCAGGCAUCUGUUAAAGCCUACCUUACACUGAAAGACUUUGACAUGAUUUGGGAAAGAUUCUUGAAAGAUUGUAGUUUAGUAAAGAGUAAAGCUUGAAUGAGGGGCCUUAGUUAAAAGACUACAAUCUUUCAAGAAUCUUUCCCAAAACUUGUCAAAGUCCGUCAGUGUAAGGUAGGCUUAACAUGAGCUUUGCAUGUCGUGUAUGAGGAAGUUUCACCCUCACACCACAGCUCAAAUGUACCUUUUGUGAUUUAAAUGUCUUCCUGAAAGUGAUCUAAUCUAAUCUAAUCCCUAAUCUAAUUUUACCUUGAAUUUACCCUCGGGGAUCAAUAAAGUAUCUAUCUAUCUAUAUCUAAUCAUAAUCAUCUGUUCAGUAUCAAUAAGAGUGUAUUGGACUAUGUCCACAUGGAGCUGAGCAAUUUUAAACAGGCAAAAAGUAUUUUGUUGUUCUACGUCCGCACGCAAACUCAAUUUCAGUGCACUGAAAAUGAUAAUGUUUUUAAAACUCCACCCAAAGUGGUAAUUACAACAUCGCCAUCUGCUUCAUUGACGUGUUCUUGACGGCCAUUCCUGGCUGUUCUGGCACUAUAAAAUACAAAGUUUCUAAGAGUGACACAAGGUACACAUCUUGCUUUUGGACACAUUGGACCCGAUGCCUGUAUAUGGUGUAUAAAUGAUAGACCCUGUGUUGUCUGUAUGGACCUUUGUGUCUUGAAUAAAGUUGAUUGAUUGAUUGACUGACUACCCAGAUGUGUGCGCACAUAGUAUCAGUGUGUGUACCUCCUCACUGGUAUCUGUUGGAUCUCUCCCGCGUUGGUGAGUAUUAUUCAUAUACUUGCACUGUGUUGUCUCUAUGGACCUUUGGGUCUUCAAUAAAGUUGA